UGGGCCGCAACUAUAGAGGAAUGAUGACGUGGAGGGGACUUGGGGCAGGAAAUGGGGACGGGGUUAUUGAUGCCCUAAUGCCUCUCUCUCGAGACCAGCCCACACUCAUGGAAAGGGGUGACAAAACUUUACAGUUUCAUAGAGGGACAACUUGCCAAAUGAGGCAAAAACAGCCUGCACCCUACUCUUCCCUCCCAACAGCUCCUGUUUUUUUUUCACUAAUGUACACCUGCCAUAGUCAAACCAAACACAUAAAUGCUUGAGUACUUAAAACCCAGAAAUAAUACCAAAUUUCCUUAAUUAAAAGUAGUGAGAAUGAAGAAGGAAAGAGAUUCUCUGCAGCAUGAAAACAAAGGGGCUGGACAACCAUUUAAUUCUUCCCAAGUACACCAAGAUCAGCCUAUAAAAACCCCCACACCACCUCCCAAAAACCCCUCCCUCUUGUUCGAUAAUUUCAGCCACAUAACAAGUUGAGAGUGUAGUGUUUUGAGUGAGUGAGUAGAGUCUCUGCAGCGUUUCUUGCAAGGAGUUCCUACUCCCCAUAGGAAUCAGGAAGCAAGUUGGCAAACUGUGAUUGCUAGGAGCAUAGCAUAAAGAUUUAGUAGCUACUUCAAGAGGUAAUACACCUCCAUUUCCUUCUCUCAAAUCUAAAUAUCUUUUCUCACAUCAUCAUGUAGAAGCACUAGAACUAGAUGCAACAAGCCACGGCGUCGGCUGGAGACGGCGGCGGUGCCGCGUUCCGCUGGAGUGAGGAGAGAGUAGAGAACGAUUGGAGUCCCCUAAUUCUGAAACUAGUUGCGAUUUGAGAAAUGAGAAAGAUGUGUACAAGAGGGAUGGACGAGGAAUUGUAGUUCUAGGGUUACUCCCCAACUUGAUUUUGGUGUAGAAGAAAUGAGAGAGGGAGCCGACAGUUUUUUCUGAUAAAUGAGAGAGUAAUUGAUUUUUUUAAUUGUUUUAUUCCUUUAAGUUUUGAGUGUUUGACUUAAAAUGGGAGUGAGGAGUGUAUGUGUGAUUUUACAAUGGGAGCGCACUUACUUUCUUUCUUUUGGGUCAGUACCUGAUUUGGGCUUGGGAGUAUGUGCUGUAUUUUUUAUCUUAAUGGGCUGCUGUUUGUUUUUGGCCAGUGUUAUAUGGAAUUGGAGUGCUUUAUCCUUGGUCU